rnacentral:rRNA from 1 species
CGAACGGGUGAGUAACGCGUGAGGAACCUGCCUCAAAGAGGGGACAACAGUUGGAAACGACUGCUAAUACCGCAUAAGCCCACGGCUCGGCAUCGAGCAGAGGGAAAAGGAGCGAUCCGCUUUGAGAUGGCCUCGCGUCCGAUUAGCUAGUUGGUGAGGUAACGGCCCACCAAGGCGACGAUCGGUAGCCGGACUGAGAGGUUGAACGGCCACAUUGGGACUGAGACACGGCCCAG